AGCGAACGCUGGCGGCAGGCUUAACACAUGCAAGUCGAACGGGCAUAGCAAUAUGUCAGUGGCAGACGGGUGAGUAACGCGUGGGAACGUACCUUUUGGUUCGGAACAACACAGGGAAACUUGUGCUAAUACCGGAUAAGCCCUUACGGGGAAAGAUUUAUCGCCGAAAGAUCGGCCUGCGUCUGAUUAGCUAGUUGGUAGGGUAAUGGCCUACCAAGGCGACGAUCAGUAGCUGGUCUGAGAGGAUGAUCAGCCACAUUGGGACUGAGACACGGCCCAAACUCCUACGGGAGGCAGCAGUGGGGAAUAUUGGACAAUGGGCGAAAGCCUGAUCCAGCCAUGCCGCGUGAGUGAUGAAGGCCCUAGGGUUGUAAAGCUCUUUUGUGCGGGAAGAUAAUGACGGUACCGCAAGAAUAAGCCCCGGCUAACUUCGUG
rnacentral:rRNA from 1 species